rnacentral:rRNA from 1 species
GAUGAACGCUAGCGACAGGCUUAACACAUGCAAGUCGAGGGACCGGCGCACGGGUGAGUAACGCGUAUGCAACCUGCCCUUCACAGGGGGAUAACCGGGAGAAAUUCCGACUAAUACCGCAUAGUGAAGGAUGGGCACGCGUGAUAUUAGGUAGUUGGCGGGGCAACGGCCCACCGAGCCUACGAUAUCUAGGGGUUCUGAGAGGAAGGUCCCCCACAUUGGUACUGAGACACGGACCAAACUCCUACGGGAGGCAGCAGUGAGGAAUAUUGGUCAAUGGACGAGAGUCUGAACCAGCCAAGUCGCGUGAAGGAGGACGGAUUAUGGUUUGUAAACUUCUUUAGUGCGGGAACGUGUACCGCAAGAAUAAGCAUCGGCUAACUCCGUGCCAGCAGCCGCGGUAAUACGGAGGAUGCGAGCGUUAUCCGGAUUUAUUGGGUUUAAAGGGAGCGCAGGCUGCGAGGCAAGUCAGCGGUCAAAUGUCGGGGCUCAACCCCGGCCUGCCGUUGAAACUGUCCUGCUAGGUUCGAGUGAGGUAUGCGGAAUGCGUUGUGUAGCGGUGGAUGCAUAGAUAUGACGCAGAACUCCGAUUGCGAAGGCAGCAUACCAACUCGCGACUGACGCUGAGGCUCGAAAGCGUGGGUAUCGAACAGGAUUAGAUACCCUGGUAGUCCACGCAGUAAACGAUGAAUACUAACUGUUCGGGAGUGGUAAAGCGAAAGCGUUAAGUAUUCCACCUGGGGAGUACGCCGGCAACGGUCAAACUCAAAGGAAUU